GACGAACGCUGGCGGCGUGCUUAACACAUGCAAGUCGAACGGAAAGGCCCUGCUUUUGUGGGGUGCUCGAGUGGCGAACGUGUGAGUAACACGUGAGUAACCUGCCCUUGACUUUGGUAUAACUUCAGGAAACUGGGUCUAAUACCGUAUAGGAGCUCCUGCUGCAUGGUGGGGGUUGGAAAGUUUCGGCGGUUGGGGAUGGACUCGCGGCUUAUCAGCUUUUUGGUGGGGUAGUGGCUUACCAAGGCUUUGACGGGUAGCCGGCAUGAGAGGGUGAACGGCAAAAGUGGGAAUGAGAUACGGAAAAGACUACUACGGGAGGCAGAAGUGGGGAAUAUUGAAAAAUGGGAGGAAGACUGAUGCAGAAAAGACGCGUGAGGGAUGAAGGCCUUCGGGUUGUAAAAAGCUUUAGCAUGUGAAGAAGAGUGAGUGACGGUAAUGGGUAAAGAAGAACCGGCUAACUACGUG
rnacentral:rRNA from 1 species